UACGUAGGGGGCGAGCGUUGUCCGGAAUUACUGGGCGUAAAGGGUGCGUAGGCGGCAUAUUAAGUUGGAUGUGAAAUGCCCGGGCUUAACUUGGGACUUGCAUUCAAAACUGGUAAGCUAGAGUACAGGAGAGGAAAGCGGAAUUCCUAGUGUAGCGGUGAAAUGCGUAGAUAUUAGGAGGAACACCGGUGGCGAAGGCGGCUUUCUAGACUGAAACUGACGCUGAGGCACGAAAGCGUGGGGAGCAAACAGGAUUAGAUACCCUGGUAGUCCACGCUGUAAACGAUGAAUACUAGGUGUAGGGGGUAUUGACUCCCUCUGUGCCGCAGCAAACGCAAUAAGUAUUCCGCCUGGGGAGUACGGCCGCAAGGUUGAA
rnacentral:rRNA from 1 species